rnacentral:rRNA from 1 species
GAUGAACGCUGGCGGCGUGCCUAAUACAUGCAAGUCGAGCGAACGGACGAGAAGCUUGCUUCUCUGAUGUUAGCGGCGGACGGGUGAGUAACACGUGGAUAACCUACCUAUAAGACUGGGAUAACUUCGGGAAACCGGAGCUAAUACCGGAUAAUAUUUUGAACCGCAUGGUUCAAAAGUGAAAGACGGUCUUGCUGUCACUUAUAGAUGGAUCCGCGCUGCAUUAGCUAGUUGGUAAGGUAACGGCUUACCAAGGCAACGAUGCAUAGCCGACCUGAGAGGGUGAUCGGCCACACUGGAACUGAGACCCGGUCCCGACUCCUAAGGGAGGCAGGAGUAGGGAAUCUUUCGGAAUGGGCGAAAGCCUGACGGAGCAAAGCCGGGUGAGUGAUGAAGGUCUUCGGAUCGUAAAACUCUGUUAUUAGGGAAGAACAUAUGUGUAAGUAACUGUGCAACUCUUGACGGUAACUAAUCAGAAAGCCACGGCUAACUACGUG